rnacentral:rRNA from 1 species
GAUGAACGCUGACAGAAUGCUUAACACAUGCAAGUCAACUUGAAUUUGGGUUUUUAACUUAGGUUUGGGUGGCGGACGGGUGAGUAACGCGUAAAGAACUUGCCUCACAGCUAGGGACAACAUUUGGAAACGAAUGCUAAUACCUAAUAUUAUGAUAAUAGGGCAUCCUAUAAUUAUGAAAGCUAUAAGCGCUGUGAGAGAGCUUUGCGUCCCAUUAGCUAGUUGGAGAGGUAACGGCUCACCAAGGCGAUGAUGGGUAGUCGGCCUGAGAGGGUGAUCGGCCACAAGGGGACUGAGACACGGCCCUUACUCCUACGGGAGGCAGCAGUGGGGAAUAUUGGACAAUGGACCGAGAGUCUGAUCCAGCAAUUCUGUGUGCACGAUGAAGUUUUUCGGAAUGUAAAGUGCUUUCAGUUGGGAAGAAACAAAUGACGGUACCAACAGAAGAAGUGACGGCUAAAUACGUG